CUACGGGGCGCAGCAGUGAGGAAUACUGCACAAUGGGGGGAACCCUGAUGCAGCAACGCCGCGUGGAGGAUGACGCAUUUCGGUGUGUAAACUCCUUUAUAUGUCAAGAAAAUGACGGUAGCAUAUGAAUAAGCACCGGCUAACUCCGUGCCAGCAGCCGCGGUAAUACGGAGGGUGCAAGCGUUACUCGGAAUCACUGGGCGUAAAGGACGCGUAGGCGGGUUGGAAAGUCAAGUGUGAAAUCCUACAGCUUAACUGUAGAACUGCACUUGAAACUUCUAAUCUAGAGUAUGGGAGGGGGAGAUGGAAUUAGUGGUGUAGGGGUAAAAUCCGUAGAUAUCACUAGGAAUACCUAAAGCGAAGGCGAUCUCCUGGAACAUUACUGACGCUAAGGCGUGAAAGCGUGGGGAGCAAACAGGAUUAGAUACCCGCGUAGUC
rnacentral:rRNA from 1 species